CAGGACGAACGCUGGCGGCGUGCUUAACACAUGCAAGUCGAACGGACCGAGUUGAUAGCUUGCUAUUGAUGAGGUUAGGUGGCAAACGGGUGAGUAACGCGUAGGCAACCUGCCCUUCAGAUGGGGACAACACCUCGAAAGGGGUGCUAAUACCGAAUGACGUUUCCUAGUCGCAUGACCUGGAAACCAAAGGCCGGGCAACCGGUCACUGAAGGAUGGGCCUGCGUCUGAUUAGCUAGUUGGUGGGGUAACGGCCCACCAAGGCGACGAUCAGUAGCCGGUCUGAGAGGAUGAACGGCCACAUUGGGACUGAGACACGGCCCAAACUCCUACGGGAGGCAGCAGUGGGGAAUCUUCCGCAAUGGGCGCAAGCCUGACGGAGCAACGCCGCGUGAGUGAAGAAGGUUUUCGGAUCGUAAAGCUCUGUUGUCGGGGACGAAUGUUGAGACUUAGAACAUAAGUUUCAAAUGACGGUACCUGACGAGGAAGCCACGGCUAACUACGUG
rnacentral:rRNA from 1 species